rnacentral:rRNA from 1 species
AUCCGGGUUGCGGACAGUGUCUGGUGGGUAGUUUGACUGGGGCGGUCUCCUCCUAAAGAGUAACGGAGGAGCACGAAGGUUGGCUAAUCCUGGUCGGACAUCAGGAGGUUAGUGCAAUGGCAUAAGCCAGCUUGACUGCGAGCGUGACGGCGCGAGCAGGUGCGAAAGCAGGUCAUAGUGAUCCGGUGGUUCUGAAUGGAAGGGCCAUCGCUCAACGGAUAAAAGGUACUCCGGGGAUAACAGGCUGAUACCGCCCAAGAGUUCAUAUCGACGGCGGUGUUUGGCACCUCGAUGUCGGCUCAUCACAUCCUGGGGCUGAAGUAGGUCCCAAGGGUAUGGCUGUUCGCCAUUUAAAGUGGUACGCGAGCUGGGUUUAGAACGUCGUGAGACAGUUCGGUCCCUAUCUGCCGUGGGCGCUGGAGAACUGAGGGGGGCUGCUCCUAGUACGAGAGGACCGGAGUGGACGCAUCACUGGUGUUCGGGUUGUCAUGCCAAUGGCACUGCCCGGUAGCUAAAUGCGGAAGAGAUAAGUGCUGAAAGCAUCUAAGCACGAAACUUGCCCCGAGAUGAGUUCUCCCUGACCCUUUAAGGGUCCUGAAGGAACGUUGAAGACGACGACGUUGAUAGGCCGGGUGUGUAAGCGCAGCGAUGCGUUGAGCUAACCGGUACUAAUGAACCGUGAG